UACAGAGGUCUCAAGCGUUGUUCGGAUUCAUUGGGCGUAAAGGGUGCGUAGGCGGCGCGGUAAGUCGGGUGUGAAAUCUCGGGGCUUAACUCCGAAACUGCAUUCGAUACUGCCGUGCUUGAGGACUGGAGAGGAGACUGGAAUUCAUGGUGUAGCAGUGAAAUGCGUAGAGAUCAUGAGGAAGACCAGUGGCGAAGGCGGGUCUCUGGACAGUUCCUGACACUGAGACACGAAGGCCAGGGAGCAAACGGG
rnacentral:rRNA from 1 species